AACAAACAGAAGGCAGCGGAGAGGCACCAUAUGGCUCUGAAAGAGCUUAAAUUUCAGAUGGAUAAACGUCUGGAAGAUGAAACUUUAGGCACAUUCAAGCACGACAGAAAGCCUUAAUGCUUGAGAAGGAACAGGCUUUAAAAAUUGCAAGUUUGUCACCUGUAUUGCCAGACCCUAUUGAAUGUCUUGAUGUGCAGAAACAACUUCAUGUGAAACGGUAUGAUGCUGACUAUUCCCUUAUCACCAUCUGCCAGAGAUCUCUGUGGACAGAAAAUAGUGCAGGACAGAGCCACUUGCGGACUCAUCUGUUGGAACCCAAGAUGAAGAGCUAAAUGUGACAUUAGAACCAGAGGCAGCAGCUGGCUCUAUAGAAGACUUUGUGGAAAGUGAGGAAGAUUAAGAUCUCCAGAACAUC